UUCCGAAGAGUAUCAUGUCCCUCUUUAUAUAGAGGGAGCUUGUUUAGGCCGUUAGGCCAUUAAAAGAGUUUGUCAGACUAUUAGAAAUUUGUUAGGCCAUUAGUUUAUUAUAACAAAAUGGCCAACUGUAUAAGGAUCAUGGGUUGUUCAUCCACAUGCAUAGUAGUUAUAGCAUAGCUGUAAGGUAGUUAUAGUAAAGUUGGAGAGUAAUUGAUUCAUAGUGAUUCUGGAUGACAUCGAUUCUUAACUGAUGUUACUGAUUGC
rnacentral:lncRNA from 1 species